AAAAGGUUUCGUUACUCGUGUUCAAGAAAGUUACAUAAUCGUCAUUUUGAAGCGCGAAGCGAAUGUUGUGUGUUCUCUAGUAGCAAUUAUAUCCCUGAAAUUUACACAUGAAAAGGUUACGGUAACAAGAAUUCCAGCUGCGAAUACACGCGACUGCGGGGAAUCCAAUGGUGAUGGACGUGCGCGAACUUCUCUUUAUACGCGAAUAUUCUUUUGAUUGUUUUCAAUUUAUUCUUGAAUUACAAUAAUAAAUUUCAUUUAUCGAAACUUUAACCACUUACUUACCGCUAGGUACGUACCCCCCGGUAACAAAAUACCACUGAUCAUGGUAGACAUCCGGAUGGAUAUGCAUUACGUUAGACAAGUUCCUCCUCGCGCACGUUAUCGUGAAGAUAGAAGUGGAGGAAAAUGGAAAUGGAAUGAACGAAUGAACGAAUGAACGAACGAACGAAGAGGUUCAAGAACGAGUGACGUGGAUGUCUCUCUGGUGCGACUCAUAUACUCUACCUGCGCCGAUCUGACGUCACGGGUAUGCCUCUUAUCAGGAAGGAGUACCAAUACCUGGCCAUGGGAGACGUGUUCCUCGAGUAAGUAAGUAGUACGACGAAAUACAUAAGAUUCUUAAACUUAUGAUAGAACGAAGAAUGGCACUACACUGUUGUGUGUGUGUGUGUGUGUGUGACAGAUUAGAAUUGAAAAAUUAAAGGAAGAAUAAUUUUUUAACAUUUAAUCAAAAUCAGGGCUAUUUGAUUUUAAAUGUCCGCCGUCCGAGGGUU